rnacentral:rRNA from 1 species
UACAGAGGGGGCAAGCGUUGUUCGGAAUCACUGGGCGUAAAGGGUGCGUAGGCGGCUGUGCAAGUCUGGCGUGAAAGCCCCGGGCUCAGCCCGGGAAGUGCGCUCGAAACUGCACGGCUCGAGUGCCGGAGGGGAGAGUGGAAUUCCUGGUGUAGCGGUGAAAUGCGUAGAUAUCAGGAGGAAUACCGGUGGCGAAAGCGACUCUCUGGACGGCAACUGACGCUGAGGCACGAAAGCGUGGGGAGCAAACAGG